rnacentral:rRNA from 1 species
GACGAACGCUGGCGGCGUGCCUAAUACAUGCAAGUUGAGCGAUGAAGAUUGGUGCUUGCACCAAUUUGAAGAGCAGCGAACGGGUGAGUAACGCGUGGGGAAUCUGCCUUUGAGCGGGGGACAACAUUUGGAAACGAAUGCUAAUACCGCAUAACAACUUUAAACAUAAGUUUUAAGUUUGAAAGAUGCAAUUGCCUCACUCAAAGAUGAUCCCGCGUUGUAUUAGCUAGUUGGUGAGGUAAAGGCUCACCAAGGCGAUGAUACAUAGACGACCUGAGAGGGUGAUCGGCCACAUUGGGACUGAGACACGGCCCAAACUCCUACGGGAGGCAGCAGUAGGGAAUCUUCGGCAAUGGACGAAAGUCUGACCGAGCAACGCAGCGUGAGUGAAGAAGGUUUUCGGAUCGUAAAACUCUGUUGGUAGAGAAGAAAGGUGGUGAGAGUGGAAAGCUCAGCAAGUGACGGUAACUACCCAGAAAGGGACGGCUAACUACGUG